rnacentral:rRNA from 1 species
AUUGAACGCUGGCGGCAGGCCUAACACAUGCAAGUCGAGCGGAUGAAGGGAGCUUGCUCCUGGAUUCAGCGGCGGACGGGUGAGUAAUGCCUAGGAAUCUGCCUGGUAGUGGGGGAUAACGUCCGGAAACGGGCGCUAAUACCGCAUACGUCCUGAGGGAGAAAGUGGGGGAUCUUCGGACCUCACGCUAUCAGAUGAGCCUAGGUCGGAUUAGCUAGUUGGUGGGGUAAAGGCCUACCAAGGCGACGAUCCGUAACUGGUCUGAGAGGAUGAUCAGUCACACUGGAACUGAGACACGGUCCAGACUCCUACGGGAGGCAGCAGUGGGGAAUAUUGGACAAUGGGCGAAAGCCUGAUCCAGCCAUGCCGCGUGUGUGAAGAAGGUCUUCGGAUUGUAAAGCACUUUAAGUUGGGAGGAAGGGCAGUAAGUUAAUACCUUGCUGUUUUGACGGUACCAACAGAAUAAGCACCGGCUAACUUCAUG